rnacentral:rRNA from 1 species
GAUGAACGCUGGCGGCGUGCCUAACACAUGCAAGUCGAACGGUCCUUCGGGACAGUGGCGCACGGGUGAGUAACACGUAGCUAAUCUGCCCUCAAGACAGGGAUAACUGUAGGAAACUAC